rnacentral:rRNA from 3 species
AACUUUCAACAACGGAUCUCUUGGUUCUGGCAUCGAUGAAGAACGCAGCGAAAUGCGAUAAGUAAUGUGAAUUGCAGAAUUCAGUGAAUCAUCGAAUCUUUGAACGCACAUUGCGCCCGCCAGUAUUCUGGCGGGCAUGCCUGUUCGAGCGUCAUUUCAACCAUCAAGCCCCCG